AAAAAAGGGGGAGGAAAUACAAAUUUUGUCUGUUUUGCAUAUAGGUGAAAUUUUCUGUGUCAGUAUCAAUUUCAGGAACCUUUUUUCUGUUUGUCUUUGUUUGACUGAAGUGUUGAGUUGUUAGGGACAUCCAAUGAUCAACUUUCAGAUUUGCUUAGAAACACCCAUAUGAUCAACUCUUAGUUUUUGUUUGUUAUACCUUAGAUUUGCUGUACAUAGUUUUUUCAUGGGAAUGGCUGGAAUCAUUUAAA
rnacentral:misc_RNA from 1 species